CCUAGGGACGCAGCAGUGGGGAAUAUUGCAUAAUGGGCGAAAGCCUGAUGCAGCAACGCCGCGUGAAGGAAGACGGUUUUCGGAUUGUAAACUUCUAUCAAUAGGGAAGAAAGAAAUGACGGUACCUAAAUAAGAAGCCCCGGCUAACUACGUGCCAGCAGCCGCGGUAAUACGUAGGGGGCAAGCGUUAUCCGGAAUUACUGGGUGUAAAGGGAGAGUAGGCGGCAAGGUAAGCGAUAUGUGAAAGCCUUAAGCUUAACUUAAGGAUGGCAUAACGAACUAUCUAGCUAGAGUACAGGAGAGGA
rnacentral:rRNA from 1 species